AUUAGAAUAGCUUAAAUUUAAAGCAUAACUUUGAAGAAGUUAAUAUAGAUAUAAUCUUUUUAAUA
rnacentral:tRNA from 1 species